rnacentral:lncRNA from 1 species
GGUGGUCUCUAUACAUGGAUACAAAAAUCUCUCACUCUCUCAACUACAAAAAGAAAGAGUAAACCACCUAGGCAAAGUACCGCUCCUCGCUAGCUAGCUAAGCGAUCCCCUUGCCGCGAUCCCGUGCCUCCGCCGGUGCCGAAGGCUCUGAAAAGUAAACCAUAAAAUAGGGGCGUGAGAACUAUUAAAAAUAGUUCCCAGUGGGCAAUUACUGAUUUCAGUGAAUGCACCACAAGGCCCAAAGCUACAAAAGAUGUCAGUGACUAUAAAUGUAGAAAAGCGAAAGGUAAAAAAAAAAAUGUAACCUACUACAACAUGAUAUCUUUACUUAGCAUAAUUAGCAUAAGUAUGAAAGCAACUAUGCAUGAAGUAAAAGUCUCCAACUAUCAUAAUGUUCACAAUGCGAAAUAGUAAAGUUCCGUUGUUUACUAUUCUAGUCAAUGUCCAAGUAAUACUCUAAGUCAUCAUCUGUCCACAUGUCAUAAUGAAUACUCAAGUCAAAUCUGAAGAGACCCACCCGAAGGCUGUCUAUGGCCCUGAGACCCACCCGUAGGCUGUCUGGCCGGUGCCGCGCCUAAUGGCCCCGUGGUAGUCAUCAUCCCCACCCUAGGAAUGAGCCUGGCCCACGGCAAUCCACUUCGGCGCCCAAUCCCGCACGGCGAAUAUGAAUCGCGAUGGCUAUCUCCGGAGUGCCGGCUUGUAGGGAGCGACCCUCACAAGCAUGUGCGAAUGAGCACAAUGGCAAGUAGUCAAACGAUCUGUCGCAAGUACCAAGUCCUCAUGUCUAUUAACAUGGAAUGUGUCAAGUAUCUCAAUGGCCUAUCUCUAUGUCAUUAUGUCUCUAACAUGGAAUAUAGCAGAUAUGUAGUGGCCUAUCAAUAUGUCUCUACGUUGCAGUUUCAUAGUUUACUAGUUUCAAGUGCCCCUUUAUGACACUCUUGUUCUCUAUGUCAAAGCAUGGCAACUAUAUUCCAAAGUACAUAUUCCAAGUCAUAAUCCUCAUAAGAGAUGUAUUUUCCACUUGCAAAAUAAACACUUUUCCCGUAUGAAUGCAUUCUACUCAUAUAGCUCUACUAUAUAGUGAAAUUUUCAUAAUACACAAGGCAUGAAUUUUAAGUGCUCUAAAAUUCAUAUAAAUUUCAUUUAGCAUGGAAAUGAAUUUAAAAAUAUUUUACAACAAGUAGAAAGGGCAUAGGGGCCAUUUCGCCCCAUCUC